rnacentral:rRNA from 1 species
GAUGAACGCUGGCGGCGUGCCUAAUACAUGCAAGUCGAGCGAACGGACGAGAAGCUUGCUUCUUUGAUGUUAGCGGCGGACGGGUGAGUAACACGUGGAUAACCUACCUAUAAGACUGAGAUAACUUCGGGAAACCGUAGCUAAUACCGGAGAAUAUCUUGAACCGCAUGGUUCAAAAGUGAAAGACGGUCUUGCUGUCACUUAUAGAUGGAUCCGCGCUGCAUUAGCUAGUUGGUAAGGUAACGGCUUACCAAGGCAACGAUGCAUAGCCGACCUGAGAGGGUGGUCGGCCACACUGGAACUGAGACACCGUCCAGAGUCCUACGGGAGGCAGCAGUAGGGAAUCUUCCGCAAUGGGCGAAAGCCUGACGGAGCGACCGCGCGUGAGUGAUGAAGGUCUUCGGAUCGUAAAACUCUGUUAUUAGGGAAAAACAUAUGUGUAAGUAACUGUGCACAGCGUGACGGUACCUAAUCAGAAGGCCACGGCUAACUACGUG